rnacentral:rRNA from 1 species
UAAGGAAUAUUGGUCAAUGGACGCAAGUCUGAACCAGCCAUGCCGCGUGGAGGAUGAAGGUCCUCUGGAUUGUAAACUUCUUUUAUCUGGGAAGAAACCCAUAUUUUCUAGUGUGGUUGACGGUACCAGAUGAAUAAGCACCGGCUAACUCCGUGCCAGCAGCCGCGGUAAUACGGAGGGUGCAAGCGUUAUCCGGAUUCACUGGGUUUAAAGGGUGCGUAGGCGGGUUGGUAAGUCCGUGGUGAAAUCCCCAAGCUUAACUUGGGAACUGCCGUGGAUACUAUCAAUCUUGAAUAUCGUGGAGGUAAGCGGAAUAUGUCAUGUAGCGGUGAAAUGCUUAGAUAUGACAUAGAACACCAAUUGCGUAGGCAGCUUACUACACGAUCAUUGACGCUGAGGCACGAAAGCGUGGGGAGCAAACA